rnacentral:ncRNA from 1 species
ACGCUGGCGCUCCGCGCCCGCCGCCGCUGAGAGCGCGUCGUACCCGGUCAGGACAAGACGACGCACU